AGCUUUGUGCAUUGGCAGUGUCGUAGCCAAUGAGGUUUAUCCGAGGUGCGAUUAUUGAUAAUUGAAAACUUUUGCCAAUACCCCGCCAUAACGACUUGAAAUAUGGUCGGCGCUGGCAAUUUUUGAUGGUCUCUACGGAGA
rnacentral:snRNA from 1 species